GGGAUGGAGGAAGAAGGAAGGAGAGAGGGAGGGAGGGAGGGAGAGGAGAAACGUGUAUCACCCAAACAACCAUUUUUACCCAUUUCACCCCCUCUGGAUCUGUGUCGCAAGUCUGCCGGGAGCUUAUCUGUCUUUCACUGCGGAUACCGUGAAGGGAGGCCGGGCCGUGAGGAAGACACCAAGAGGAGGAAGACGAUAAUCAGAUGCCCGGGAGGACUGGAAAUCGCGUGCCAAAAAACACAUUACUCCUGAAUUCCAAUUUGCACAUGGUGAACUAGGAAACGGUGGCAUCCUUGAACUUGUCUUUGCUGAUGGGAAUCAGAUGAAGAGAAAGUGCUUCAAAUCUAGCUGGAAAAAAAAAAAAAACACAAGACACUUUAAAAAUGUAAUCACCGAAACCACCUACUGCAUGGAUGUGUUCAGACAUAUUUGUAAUUUAGGAACAUGUCAUCACCCUUACUUAGAUCUGCGGCUUUGAGUGUUUUGUUUUUCACUAGCAGGGUGCCAUAUCAUUCUGGUGUUUUUCUGCUUUUUCAUUCGUGCUCAGUUAAAUAAAAAACAACACUCCAAACAUAAGUUUGAACCCUUAUGUUUAGCUGACAUAGGUCUAACUUUCUCAUUGUUUAGAGUCCCACAGACCCCACUGCUGUAUGUGUCAAAAUGAUAAUGAUAAUUGCAAAAUUCACCAUUUAUUUUUAGUUUUUUUUCCUUCUUCUGAGCUUUUUAGAAUACCAUAUGUAAAACACUAAUACUGUGGUAAUCCUUUUCUUUGCCACAAACUGUGCUCCCACAUUCGAUGAACAAACAGAAAUGACCAUAAAGCAUCGUUAACUACGUUAAAAAAAAAAAGAAAAUAUGACAUGUUUUUAUUUGAACAGGGAUGUCCACGCAUCUUCUGGCAGCAUGCAGCUUCCUUUAAUAAUGCAAACAGAUAACAAACACCAUCAGUUCAUAAUUCAGUUUCUAAGAAAAUUCUCAUAAAAUUGGGAAAAGUCAUGAUGUAUCAAGGAUAAAUAAACAAUGUUAAGUAGGUUUGUUUGAGCUGUUCAAGGGGGCCCGCUAUCAAUGUUGUGAAUAAAAAUGAUUGUUGUAAAAAAAGUUAUAUACUGAUCAUGUAACACACCUCAAAGAGGUUUCAGGGAAAUUGAUAACAGGCUGUUGGUACAAAUUGAAUUCAUGGAUGAGAAAAAAAGACAGGUGUCAAAUCUUACAAGAGAAUGUGACAUUUGAGGCAGUCUGUGAUUUGUAAUAAAAAAAUUUUUUUUAAAUGCAUGCAUUCUGACAUCAUCACAAUCUAGACUCAGUCCAAAUAAGUGAUCCUGGUUAACGCCAGGUGUAAAGAGGACCUAUGAGUAUUAAUCUUUCUCUGGGCUGUCGGCGGGCUGAUUUAGUCGCCCAUGUUGGGUCAAGGCCCUCAUUCUUUUCUUAAACACCUCGCUUCCCUGCCAAACCGGGAUUUCCGAUUGAGGGGGCCUCAAUAACAACUUUGAUGUGGACGGCGUCCUAGAGGGUGAAGUGAAAGGCGAGAGGGAGGAGGACCGCACAAUGGCCUGACCUUCCUACUGCAUCUGCACAGAUCCCACUCUAAAUGGGCACAUUGAUGCUGCUGCUUAGCUCUUUGCUGGGAGUCCUGAUGGAGCCAACACUGGGGACUGGGACACAGCAAAGCCUGGAUACCUGCCAACAGACAGGGACAAAUUGAUUGAGAGCAAUCCAGCUCUUAUUGCAUCUAACCCCCCCUCCCCCGUUCUGCUUCAAGCAGUGUGUAAAUAGAGGUGUACUGUUAUAAUAAAAUGAUUUACUUUUCAUA